rnacentral:rRNA from 1 species
UGGGGAAUUUUGGACAAUGGGGGAAACCCUGAUCCAGCCAUCCCGCGUGUGCGAUGAAGGCCUUCGGGUUGUAAAGCACUUUUGGCAGGAAAGAAACGUCAUGGGUUAAUACCCCGUGAAACUGACGGUACCUGCAGAAUAAGCACCGGCUAACUACGUGCCAGCAGCCGCGGCAAUACGUAGGGUGCAAGCGUUCAUCGGAAUUACUGGGCGAAAAGCGUGCGCAGGCGGUUCGGAAAGAAAGAUGUGAAAUCCCAGAGCACAACUUUGGUACUUCAUUUUUAACUCCCGGGCUAGAGUGUGUCCGAGGGGGGUGGAAUUCCGCGUGUAGCAGUGAAAUGCGUAGAUAUGCGGAGGAACCCCGAUGGCGAAGGCAGCGUCCUGGGAUAACACUGACGCUCAUGCACGAAAGCGUGGGGAGCAAACAGG